ensembl:ncRNA F13D11.19 ncRNA
GUUCGUUCUUCUUCGCGAAGUGCAAGAAGAGCGCUUCGAAUUGAGAGACGAUUCAGCGUGGCGGCGCCGCACAGCGACGUCGCAUAAAACACUCAUUUGCAUAUUGAGUCGUGCCAAGUCUCUGUGAAACGCAAUGUUGCAAACGAAUCUUUUGCCGUUCGGGUUCCCCUUUUUAUUUUCGGAGUGUGGUGGAAAAGAGAAGGGAAAGGGAGAAGGGGGACCGCCCCAUUUACAAAUGCAACCAACCAAGAAGCCCCCAUGCCCCGCCACGGCUUUUCCACACUGACCCUUUUUAUCUUGGUGGCCACUACCACCACCAUGGGAAAAAAGGAACAUGAAAAAGUGGGAGGCGUCAGAGAGAAACGGGUGGAUGGAAAAAGGAAGACGAGUGUUUUGGGUGGAACUCACACCAUGCAACAUUUAAAACAUGUUAACCUACAUACACAACAAUUUUUGACGCAAGCCACUAAUGCCAGUU